AAGAAAGGUCUGGGGACAAGGGAAACUGCUAAUCUCCCCACCCAUGGUUCAAAUCCAUGGCUCUCUUA
rnacentral:tRNA from 1 species